rnacentral:rRNA from 1 species
UAGGGAAUCUUCGGCAAUGGGGGCAACCCUGACCGAGCAACGCCGCGUGAGUGAAGAAGGUUUUCGGAUCGUAAAGCUCUGUUGUAAGAGAAGAACGUGUGUGAGAGUGGAAAGUUCACACAGUGACGGUAACUUACCAGAAAGGGACGGCUAACUACGUGCCAGCAGCCGCGGUAAUACGUAGGUCCCGAGCGUUGUCCGGAUUUAUUGGGCGUAAAGCGAGCGCAGGCGGUUUAAUAAGUCUGAAGUUAAAGGCAGUGGCUUAACCAUUGUCCGCUUUGGAAACUGUUAAACUUGAGUGCAGAAGGGGUGAGUGGAAUUCCAUGUGUAGCGGUGAAAUACGUAGAUAUAUGGAGGAACACCGGUGGCGAAAGCGGCUCUCUGGUCUGUAACUGACGCUGAGGCUCGAAAGCGUGGGGAGCAAACAGG